rnacentral:rRNA from 1 species
UAGGGAAUCUUCCGCAAUGGGCGAAAGCCUGACGGAGCAACGCCGCGUGAGUGAAGAAGGAUUUCGGUUCGUAAAGCUCUGUUGUUANGGAAGAAUGAUUGUGUANUANCUAUACACAGUANANACGGUACCUAACCANAAAGCCACGGCUAACUACGUGCCANCAGCCGCGGUAAUACGUANGUGGCAAGCGUUGUCCGGAAUUAUUGGGCGUAAAGCGCGCGCANGUGGUUUAAUAANUCUGAUGUGAAAGCCCACGGCUCAACCGUGGAGGGUCAUUGGAAACUGUUAAACUUGAGUGCAGGAGAGAAAAGUGGAAUUCCUAGUGUAGCGGUGAAAUGCGUANAGAUUAGGAGGAACACCAGUGGCGAAGGCGGCUUUUUGGCCUGUAACUGACACUGAGGCGCGAAAGCGUGGGGAGCAAACAGGAUUAGAUACCCUGGUAGUCCACGCCGUAAACGAUGAGUGCUAAGUGUUGGUCUCAUAANAGAUCANUGCUGCAGCUAACGCAUUANGCACUCCGCCUGGGGAGUACNACCGCNAGGUUG